GGGUUGUGAGGUUAAGCGACUAAGCGUACACGGUGGAUGCCUAGGCAGUCAGAGGCGAUGAAGGGCGUGCUAAUCUGCGAAAAGCGUCGGUAAGCUGAUAUGAAGCGUAAUAACCGACGAUACCCGAAUGGGGAAACCCAGUGCAAUUCGUUGCACUAUUGCAUGGUGAAUACAUAGCCAUGCAAGGCGAACCGGGGGAACUGAAACAUCUAAGUACCCCGAGGAAAAGAAAUCAACCGAGAUUCCCCCAGUAGCGGCGAGCGAACGGGGAAGAGCCCAGAGUCUGAAUCAGUUGGUGUGUUAGUGGAAGCGUCUGGAAAGUCGCACGGUACAGGGUGAUAGUCCCGUACACAAAAACACACUGGCUGUGAACUCGAUGAGUAGGGCGGGACACGUGACAUCCUGUCUGAAUAUGGGGGGACCAUCCUCCAAGGCUAAAUACUCCUGACUGACCGAUAGUGAACCAGUACCGUGAGGGAAAGGCGAAAAGAACCCCGGCGAGGGGAGUGAAAUAGAACCUGAAACCGUGUACGUACAAGCAGUGGGAGCACCUUCGUGGUGUGACUGCGUACCUUUUGUAUAAUGGGUCAGCGACUUAUAUUUUGUAGCAAGGUUAACCGAAUAGGGGAGCCGUAGGGAAACCGAGUCUUAACUGGGCGUCUAGUUGCAAGGUAUAGACCCGAAACCCGGUGAUCUAGCCAUGGGCAGGUUGAAGGUUGGGUAACACUAACUGGAGGACCGAACCGACUAAUGUUGAAAAAUUAGCGGAUGACUUGUGGCUGGGGGUGAAAGGCCAAUCAAACCGGGAGAUAGCUGGUUCUCCCCGAAAGCUAUUUAGGUAGCGCCUCGUGAACUCAUCUUCGGGGUAGAGCACUGUUUCGGCUAGGGGUCCAUCCCGGAUUACCAAACCGAUGCAAACUCCGAAUACCGAAGAAUGUUAUCACGGGAGACACACGGCGGGUGCUAACGUCCGUCGUGAAGAGGGAAACAACCCAGACCGCCAGCUAAGGUCCCAAAGUCAUGGUUAAGUGGGAAACGAUGUGGGAAGGCAUAGACAGCCAGGAUGUUGGCUUAGAAGCAGCCAUCAUUUAAAGAAAGCGUAAUAGCUCACUGGUCGAGUCGGCCUGCGCGGAAGAUGUAACGGGGCUAAACCAUGCACCGAAGCUGCGGCAGCGACGCUUAGGCGUUGUUGGGUAGGGGAGCGUUCUGUAAGCCGUUGAAGGUGGCCUGUGAGGGCUGCUGGAGGUAUCAGAAGUGCGAAUGCUGACAUAAGUAACGAUAAUGCGGGUGAAAAACCCGCACGCCGGAAGACCAAGGGUUCCUGUCCAACGUUAAUCGGGGCAGGGUGAGUCGACCCCUAAGGCGAGGCUGAAAAGCGUAGUCGAUGGGAAACAGGUUAAUAUUCCUGUACUGGGUGUGACUGCGAAGGGGGGACGGAGAAGGCUAGGCUAGCCGGGCGACGGUUGUCCCGGUUUAAGCAUGUAGGCGGAGUGACUUGGUAAAUCCGGUUGCUUAUCAACGCUGAGGUGUGAUGACGAGCCACUACGGUGGUGAAGUAGUUGAUGCCAAGCUUCCAGGAAAAGCCUCUAAGCAUCAGGUGACAUUCAAUCGUACCCCAAACCGACACAGGUGGUCAGGUAGAGAAUACUCAGGCGCUUGAGAGAACUCGGGUGAAGGAACUAGGCAAAAUGGUGCCGUAACUUCGGGAGAAGGCACGCUGGCAUUAGGUAAAGAGACUUGCUCUCGGCGCCGAAGCCAGUCGCAGAUACCAGCUGGCUGCAACUGUUUAAUAAAAACACAGCACUGUGCAAACACGAAAGUGGACGUAUACGGUGUGACGCCUGCCCGGUGCUGGAAGGUUAAUUGAUGGGGUCAGCCGCAAGGCGAAGCUCUUGAUCGAAGCCCCAGUAAACGGCGGCCGUAACUAUAACGGUCCUAAGGUAGCGAAAUUCCUUGUCGGGUAAGUUCCGACCUGCACGAAUGGCGUAAUGAUGGCCAGGCUGUCUCCACCCGAGACUCAGUGAAAUUGAACUCGCUGUGAAGAUGCAGUGUACCCGCGGCAAGACGGAAAGACCCCGUGAACCUUUACUAUAGCUUGACACUGAAUAUUGAGCCUUGAUGUGUAGGAUAGGUGGGAGGCAUCGAAGCGUGGACGCCAGUCUGCGUGGAGCCAACCUUGAAAUACCACCCUUUAAUGUUUGAUGUUCUAACUCGGCCCCAUAAUCUGGGGUGAGGACAGUGUCUGGUGGGUAGUUUGACUGGGGCGGUCUCCUCCCAAAGAGUAACGGAGGAGCACGAAGGUUAGCUAAUCACGGUCGGACAUCGUGAGGUUAGUGCAAAGGCAUAAGCUAGCUUGACUGCGAGAGUGACGGCUCGAGCAGGUACGAAAGUAGGUCUUAGUGAUCCGGUGGUUCUGAAUGGAAGGGCCAUCGCUCAACGGAUAAAAGGUACUCCGGGGAUAACAGGCUGAUACCGCCCAAGAGUUCAUAUCGACGGCGGUGUUUGGCACCUCGAUGUCGGCUCAUCACAUCCUGGGGCUGAAGUAGGUCCCAAGGGUAUGGCUGUUCGCCAUUUAAAGUGGUACGCGAGCUGGGUUUUAGAACGUCGUGAGACAGUUCGGUCCCUAUCUGCCGUGGGCGUUGGAAGAUUGAGAGGGGCUGCUCCUAGUACGAGAGGACCGGAGUGGACGCAUCACUGGUGUUCGGGUUGUCAUGCCAAUGGCAUUGCCCGGUAGCUAAAUGCGGAAAAGAUAAGCGCUGAAAGCAUCUAAGCGCGAAACUUGCCUCGAGAUGAGUCUUCCCUGGGGCUUUAAGCCCCCUGAAGGAACGUUAAAGACUAUGACGUUGAUAGGCUGGGUGUGUAAGUGCAGCGAUGCAUUGAGCUAACCAGUACUAAUGAUCCGUGAGGCUUAACCUUACAACACCGAAGGUGUUU
rnacentral:rRNA from 1 species